rnacentral:rRNA from 1 species
UACGGAAGGCAGCAGUGGGGAAUAUUGCACAAUGGGCGAAAGCCUGAUGCAGCUAUGCCGCGUGUAUGAAGAAGGCCUUAGGGUUGUAAAGUACUUUCAUCGGGGAGGAAAAAACAAAACUAAUAAUUUUAUUUCUUGACGUUACCCGAAAAAGAAGCACCGGCUAACUCCGUGCCAGCAGCCGCGGUAAUACGGAGGGUGCUAGCGUUAAUCAGAAUUACUGGGCGUAAAGAGCACGUAGGUGGUUUUUUUAAAGUCAGAUGUGAAUCCCUGGGCUUAACCUAGGAACUGCAUUUUGAAACUGAAAUACUAGAGUAUCGUAGAGGGAGGUAGAAUUCUAGGUGUAGCGGUGAAAUGCGUAGAUAUCUGGAGGAAUACCUGUGGCGAAAGCGGCCUCCUAAACGAAUACUGACACUGAGGUGCGAAAGCGUGGGGAGCAAACAGGGAUAAGAUACC